GCCCGCCUCCUGCCGCCGCCCGCCAAUCAGCCCCGCGGCCCGCCGCCCGCCAAUCAGCGCCGAGGCUGAGCGGGGCUUCCGCUCCUCCUCCCUCGAGUGGGGCGCGGGAACAUCCGGAGCUUCGGAGGGUGGGCGCGUCGUUUGCGGGCUGUGUCCCGCGUCGCUGCGGCUGGGCCCGUCGGGGGCCUCCGGCCACGUCGGGGGCUGUUGUUCCUGCGUGGCAUUGUUCCUCCCCAUGUGUCAUCCCCAUGGAAGGACAAAGUCUGCUCAUAUGCCAUUUCUUGUAUCAGAAAUCUAAUGUGUGGGGUGAAAGAUCUACAGAAGGUUGUAGACAAAGACACUGCACAGAUGCAGCCAUCAACAACCUGCGCUCAUUACCACUUCAUCUAGGAGAGAACUAUGAUGAUGUGUUUCAGACUUUUUCAGAUGAAAUCCAGAGCAGUGUACAAUUCCUUAAUCCAAGAUGA
rnacentral:lncRNA from 1 species